AUUGAACGCUGGCGGCAUGCCUUACACAUGCAAGUCGAACGGUAACAGGUCUUCGGAUGCUGACGAGUGGCGAACGGGUGAGUAAUACAUCGGAACGUGCCUAGUAGUGGGGGAUAACUACUCGAAAGAGUGGUUAAUACCGCAUGAGAUCUACGGAUGAAAGCAGGGGAUCGCAAGACCUUGUGCUACUAGAGCGGCCGAUGGCAGAUUAGGUAGUUGGUGGGAUAAAAGCUUACCAAGCCGACGAUCUGUAGCUGGUCUGAGAGGACGAUCAGCAAAACUGGGACUGAGACACGGCCCAGACUCCUACGGGAGGCAGCAGUGGGGAAUUUUGGACAAUGGGCGCAAGCCUGAUCCAGCAAUGCCGCGUGCAGGAUGAAGGCCUUCGGGUUGUAAACUGCUUUUGUACGGAACGAAAAGCCCUGGGUUAAUACCCUGGGGUCAUGACGGUACCGUAAGAAUAAGCACCAGCUAACUACGUGCCAGCCGCCGCCGUAA
rnacentral:rRNA from 1 species